CGCGUGAGAAUCUAGCUUCAGAACGGGGACAACAGAGGGAAACCACUGCUAAUACCCGAUGUGCCGAGAGGUGAAAGAUUUAUCGUCUGAAGAUGAGCUCGCGUCCGAUUAGCUAGUUGGUAAGGUAAGAGCUUACCAAGGCGACGAUCGGUAGCUGGUCUGAGAGGAUGACCAGCCACACUGGGACUGAGACACGGCCCAGACUCCUACGGGAGGCAGCAGUGGGGAAUUUUCCGCAAUGGGCGAAAGCCUGACGGAGCAAGACCGCGUGAGGGAGGAAGGCUCUUGGGUUGUAAACCUCUUUUCUCUGGGAAGAAGAUCUGACGGUACCAGAGGAAUCAGCAUCGGCUAACUCCGUGCCAGCAGCCGCGGUAAUACGGAGGAUGCAAGCGUUAUCCGGAAUUAUUGGGCGUAAAGCGUCCGUAGGUGGCGGUUCAAGUCUGCCGUUAAAACCAGUAGCUUAACUACUGACAGGCGGUGGAAACUGAACAGCUAGAGUGUGGUAGGGGUAGAGGGAAUUCCCAGUGUAGCGGUGAAAUGCGUAGAGAUUGGGAAGAACACCGGUGGCGAAAGCGCUCUGCUGGACCACAACUGACACUCACAGGACGAAAGCUAGGGGAGCGAAUGGGAUUAGAUACCCC
rnacentral:rRNA from 1 species